rnacentral:lncRNA from 1 species
GUUUGAUAGUUUAGUGUUCGAUUCGAUUCCUUGCUUAUAUGAUACAUAUAAACGUUUAUCGGCGUUUUGGAGCAUUUCUAUAGUAGAAAUUUAUUGAAUAAAAGUUAAAAGAAAAAAUAUAAAGAUUUUGAUUGGUUAUAUAUUGGUCUUGUUUCAGGUAUUUUUCUAACGUUGGCAUUUAAAACUACAAAAAAAAUAAACAUACGUUUGCCUUUUUUACAAGAUCUAACUCCGUCACCCUGUUCUAUGUUUUUUUUUUUCUUUUUGUAUCGCUGACUAUGCGGUAUUGGUUUUACUAAUUGUUGAAGGCCGUACGGUGAACUAUAGUCGUCAAUUUUUGCGCAUUAUGGUCUCUUUUGGAGAGUUGUCUCAUUGGCAAUCAUACCACUUCUUCUUAUUUUUUUAUAUAUACAGACAUCUUGCAUAUAAAAAUGAACAAAGAUAUGCAAAAUGUCCUUGCAUUUGGUUAAUUGUAAUUAAAAUAACACAUUUGGCCUCUAUAAUGAAAACUACGUGAU